AGAGACUCCGUCUGAGCAUCUCCUCGUUACAACUUCAAGUGAAAAAACGUGUACCUUAUCUUCCUUUUACAGACAGCACAGGUCAGAAACUGCAAUGAGGAAGAUAGCUUAUAGCGCUAGGAAGCUAGUGGGCCAUCUGGCGGUGGAGGAGGACACAGCAGACGCAACUCCAAUUUCACGUGUGGUUUCCAGAGCUAACUGUCAUUAUCUGUGAUCACCGCUGGAUGGCUACCCUGU